CAGCCGCCGCGAAUACAGAGGGUGCGAGCGUUAAUCGGAUUUACUGGGCGUAAAGCGUGCGUAGGCGGCUUUUUAAGUCGGAUGUGAAAUCCCUGAGCUUAACUUAGGAAUUGCAUUCGAUACUGGGAAGCUAGAGUAUGGGAGAGGAUGGUAGAAUUCCAGGUGUAGCGGUGAAAUGCGUAGAGAUCUGGAGGAAUACCGAUGGCGAAGGCAGCCAUCUGGCCUAAUACUGACGCUGAGGUACGAAAGCAUGGGGAGCAAACAGGAUUAGAUACCCCUGUAGUCCCUGUCUCUUAUACAC
rnacentral:rRNA from 1 species